UGACGCAGCCAUGCCGCGUGAAUGAUGAAGGUCUUAGGAUUGUAAAAUCGUUUCACCGGGGACGAUAAUGACGGUACCCGGAGAAGAAGCCCCGGCUAACUUCGUGCCAGCAGCCGCGGUAAUACGAAGGGGGCUAGCGUUGCUCGGAAUUACUGGGCGUAAAGGGAGCGUAGGCGGAUAGUUUAGUCAGAGGUGAAAGCCCAGGGCUCAACCUUGGAAUUGCCUUUGAUACUGGCUAUCUUGAGUACGGAAGAGGUAUGUGAACUCCGAGUGUAGAGGUGAAAUUCGUAGAUAUUCGGAAGAACACCAGUGGCGAAGGCGACAUACUGGUCCGAUACUGACGCUGAGGCUCGAAAGCGUGGGGAGCAAACAGGAUUAGAUACCCUGGUAGUCCACGCCGUAAACGAUGAGUGCUAGUUGUCGGCAUGCAUGCAUGUCGGUGACGCAGCUAACGCAUUAAGCACUCCGCCUGGGGAGUACGGUCGCAAGAUUA
rnacentral:rRNA from 1 species